rnacentral:lncRNA from 1 species
AAUAAUUGCCAAGAGUUGAGUAAGGAGCUGGAGAACGUGACCCAGGGCUUGCCACCCAUCCAUUCAUUCAGCAGGGACAACACGGAGUGGAGUGUGCAGAGGCAUAUCAGAAACUCUGUCACAGUCCACGAAUCCACAGCGAAGCCGCACAGCAAGCCUGGUUUGCUACCCUGAUCUCACCCUUUGUGCUUUUCUCUGCUACUCUAAGCUCCACCCCUUUUCCCGUGAAGGUCCAAUGGCACGAAGGUCCCAUGGCCCUCUCCGCCUAUGCAAGACAUGUCCUUUCAGCAUGGACGACUCCUUGGACAGCUUUCCCUCUGUGCCCAGACAAGGAUAAAUUUUGUUCUCAUUGUUUUCUGGAAGCUUCUAUGCCUGGAACUGGCUGGCUCCCACUGUGAUCUGAUCCUAUAGGGUCC